CUCACAGCAGCCGAGUAAAAUACUGUGUCCAUCCUCACAGUAAAGAUGAGGAAACAGGCUGCAGAGAACUGGUCCUUAACCCACAGCAAUGGAUGGGGGUGGCCCAGGGAAAGUGCUGCCGCUGUCCCCUGGUGUCCGCCUGUCGCUCUGUCAGGCAGACCGCUGCGCAGAUGGGCAGUGGAGAAAGUAUUUGAUGCUCCUACUUGGCAAUAAUAAAAUAACCACUUGUGGAUGUGAACCAGCUGGCAGUUUAUUUCACUUAGUAUCAGAUCCACACAGAAAGCAUCCCUCAGCCAUCUCCUGAAAAUCCACAAGCUACCUGGAGUUCACUGGUACAAGGUCAGCCUUGGUACCACGGGCACCAAGCCUUGAGAAGCGAUCCUUUAUGUGGCCCACGCCUCUCACUCCACCAGCCAGGCGGAGUUUUGGUAAUUUGCAUGGUUCAAGAAGUUUGUCCAUUUCAUCUAAGUUGUUCAGCUUAUUGGCAUCACUUGGAUCUUAGUCCUGCAGACAUUGGCAACAUGCAAGUCAGCCUGAACCCGUGAUCAUCAGUCACUCCCAGUUUUAACAUUUCUUUAUAAAGCAAUUGGGGGAAAUGCAGUAGAGUGACUCUCCUUAAUACAUAGUGCACAUCCCUGGUUUGUUCUUGUCAAACCUUGCUUCUACAAUAAAACGAAAAAGU